UUAAUUUUGAAACCCUCUUUCUCAGUGCCUUGGACUGAAGGGAGCUCCUUCUUUCUGUUGCCUCCAUUUGUAACCAUGUUUCAAAACUGCUUUAUCCAUGUCAAAGCCUAAUUGUACAUGCUUGGGUCAAAAAGGUGAAGCUUCUGUACACUACUACUGUAGCUGAUGUUACAAGUCCUUUGUAAGUAUUAAUUCUUUUCCCACAAUUUACCCUAGAUACAGUAAACAUCUGAAAUAGUUGCAUAUGAAUUUAAUAGCUGGGUGACCCACUUGGUACUUUUUUACUUGCCAGGGAAAUUAUGAGUUCCAAGACAUUGACAUUAUGACAUAGAUCCUUAUGUUUAAUACCACACAUGCAGUUUCUUAUGUGAUAUCCGACGGACACAGUAAUUUAUUUUGUUAAAAGUAUAAAUGAUGAGUACUUUAAACAUAACAUAUUUUUUCAGAAAGUGGAUUAACAAUGUGGCUACUGUCCUUUCAGGUUAAGUACAAGUUUCUCCUCUCUCUUUAUCCCUAUCCAGACUUGUUUUUUAAUUUGUAUUACUCAUUGGGCUAGUUGCAUGUACAUCAAUUAGUAACUAAGUUAUUCUUUUCCAUGCCUGAUUGAGUGAUACCACAGAUAAUUGAUUAACUCCUUCGAAUCAUACUUUUGUGGAUUUGAACAUAAGCAUCAUUUUUUCUACAAGUCAAUUUCACUGAGAUGAGUAUAAGGAUAGUCCAACUCAUUUAGAUAUAUAUCAACACAAAGUCAGACCCACCAACAUAAUUUAUGAUAGAGCAUUAUAACAUUGUUUGAACACAAAGUCAUACCCAAACUAAAUAACAACGCGUAAUAAAUUCAAGGAAAAAUCAAGCGGGCUAAUGAAGAAGAAAGAGUAGCAUCACCCAUUUUGAUAAAGAAUCACAACUAGGAACUUAUAUACUUCAGCAUGUGUUCUAUUAUACUACUAUACAUUAGAGAAUAAUGUGUGUAUUUUUAUUAAAAGCUUAUUUUUACUGCUUCUUUAACCAAUAUCUCUAAGAGACAACAGAUAAUACCAUUACAAAGUAAGCAAAAUAACCAUAUCAAGUAUUAAUUAAUACCAUAGCAGUAGCAGCUGUCAUGCUUCUUCUAAUUCAUGAUAAGCAGCAUAUUUUAACAUGUGUAGCAUAUGAUCAUGUCGUUGCAUGUUUAAUUGAGUAUAGAGAUAUGGAAGCAAAUUAGCAUGGAGUCAGGCCAAAAGCAGUGACAGCAGUAUCUCAUUCCGAUGCACCAAACAAGUACUCCACUUCUUUCAAUUUCCGAGGUAUGUUACUAAACAAAUAGGAACAAGGAUAAUCUCCAUUAAUGGAGAGACAAAUAAUUGUUUUUAGUGACAAAAAUAUGAUUUCAUGAUAAACAAAAGAAUAAAAGUAUUAUUACAUAUUGCUUUUUAUGUGUUAUUAUGUGAUACUUAUCUCUUUAUUAAUGGAUCCUUACUCAACAAAUAGAGAUAUCCAUCUAUGUAGAGUAAACUACUGCAUGCUAAUAUAUUAGUUAUACCAAUUAUUUUUUGUUAUGUUCAUCAAGACUAGUUUCUGGUCUGCUCCUGGAUCGAGAAAUUGCACCUGGCUGCACAUAUUUUCAUUAACGUUUUAUUGAUAUUGGUUGUUAACAGUAAUCUGACACUGAUUGUAACUUUUAACCUAGGAGUGUAAUCCGCAUAAAAUAUUAAUUUUCGUUCGAAGUGUGGCCUAGAAAUGAGUGGUAAACAGUUGUGACAGUGGGUCCAGAAUCCAGAUAUAUAUGUAUAAAGCUGGAACUUACUGUUUUCUCAAAAUGGACUGUGAAGCAUUUUGAAUGCGUGUAAGUUGAGUCUCCCCUUAGCCCCAUCUUACCAAUUACUUCAAAAAUAUAAAUAAUUGUAAAUAAUGAUUUUAUAGAAACAACUGUUCGAGAUAUAAUCAUUUAAAAUUAGAAUUAUUAAAACUUCACUGUUUAAAGAAUUUAUGGAGUACUUAUGUUAAAUUUUAAUUAGAACUACUUUUACUUUUAAAUAUACACAACUACACAAGUAGUUUUUAUAAACAAUUUUUUUUUACCUUUUUUUACUAGUUUAGACAAGCCUGGUUUAAUAACCUCUUAGUUUUUGUCCGGUACUCUUUUUUGGUUUGAAUCACGGAUAUUCUUCCAAGAAAAAAUCCUGUUCAAAUCAGUACUACCCUGUGGGCUGUGGACAACAGAAAAGCUCUCUGAAGCAAAUAUUAUAGUUAUUUUGGUUGAUGCUAUAUGAAUCAGUUAUUUAAUAAGAUUCAGUUUCCCUUAGAAAAUACACUCAUCUUCAUAAAUUCAGUACAUUUAUGUUCCACUCUAAAGAUAGGAAAAUCCUCCCUAUAAAACAUGUCACACUCUCAACCAAUCGAUAGCCACACCGCGGUGCGUUUGUAAUUGUCUUUGUUUAAACUCCUGAAGAUUCUACUUAUGCUUGUUUCAAUGCUUGCUCUAUUGCUCGUGUUGCUAGUAUUGCUACAUUGCCAAAAUUAAAUAUUAGCUAUCUUUUCUGUUUUUGCUUCAAAGUUUUUUGUAAGAGACAUGAUUUAGAAUAAGGGUGAGCAUGUGUAAGGUUGGGACGGGUUAAAGCUUGUUCUUAUCCGGUCCUAAAUAUUGGUCAUGUCACUUUUUUGAAUCCGGACUUAGCCCUAGACCCGAACCUAACCCGACCCUAAAUAGCGACUGAGUCAGCCUUUAAACCCGACCCUAAAUAGUGACUGAGUCAGCCUUUAAACCCGACCUAGACCCGAUUAAAUAUAAUGCAUACUCAUUUUAGAUAAAGAAUUCUCAGUAUUAUUUAUUAUUAUGAAUAUGUAGUUUGAUAUAUAAAAUGAUAUAUGUAUUAUUAAUCAUGUAUAUAUUAUGAAAAAAUUAAAGAAUAAAUGAUACUUUCGACCAAAAUGGUAUCAUUACUCUAUACAUAUUUGAGUAGAAACACAUACAAACAUGAUGAGCGAGUGACCCUAGGGCGGGGCGGGUUGCGUCAUGCUUGGUCCCUACCUGACCCUAAAUAUUGACUGGGUCUAUUUUUGGAACCCGAACUCGGCCCUAGACCCGAUCAGACCCGACUCUAUUCGGACCCGAUCAUGAUCGGGUCGUGCCGGUUGAGCGGAUAGGGUCGAGUCUUGCUCACCCCUAAUUUAGGAUAUAGUAACGUUUAUAAUAGAUACUCGUUUUUGGUAGUUGAUCCAUUAUGAAAAUGAAUGAUUUUGGCAACUGGCAAGGCGAUUGUGUGAAGUUAUCAGCGCCAAAGUGAUGUAAACCAAGGGGGGCAACAUGUGAUUUUUGGAGGCCAUGUUCUUGCAAAGAAUUUAUAGCAUAGUUUUGUUUAUUUUAUUUGCGUUGAUUCAAAUAAAUGAGAUUCCAUUCGCAUAUAGUCUUAGGUUUAUUUUCAUUCAAGUAUUUUUAGUAUUUAAUUCAUGUAAUAUGAGUUGGGAAUUAUUUGUAACAUUGGUCCAUAUUCAUGACCAAGUAGUUUACUUAGGCUCAAGGGUAAGCCUUUCACAUGGCUAGGGCAAAUGGAAGUCAAGACAUGAUCAUUUCAAGGAAGGAGACACGUAAGGAACUCUAUCUAUAAGGACAAACAAAGACAUAAGACAAUUCAGUUAACACUUUAUCUCUAAGGCAAACAAAGAGAUAAGGCAUGGAGGGAAAAUGAAUUUAAAAGAAGAUAUGUUUGUUUUAGCAAUUUGAAUUUGAAAGAAGAUAUAUUUGAAUUGGAAUUUGAAAGAAGAUAGAUUUGAAUUUGAAUUUGAGAAAAAAUAUAUUUGAAUUUGAAUUUGAGAAAAGAUAGAUUUGUUGCUGCCAACAAAUAUAAUAUUUUCAAAUCAGCCACAACAACCUAAUCUAUACAUUAUCUUCUCAAGAUCUCCACAUAAUUUCAGCCAAACUCAAAUGCAAGGAACCAAGCCAACAACACCAACACCAAAGUCGAAUCAAGCUUCCUUAAAUGAAGGAAAUCAUCUCAUCUCCAUCUUCUUCUAAACCGUGGAGACUAUUCAAUCCAAAUUACAUUAUUUAAGAUCUUAUCUACUUGAUUUAAUUAUGAGUUACAUUAUUAUUUCAUAUUUAUUUUUAGCCUAAGUUUUAAUUAGGAUUUCAAUUAUUCAAGUUAAUUAGGACUUAGUCUAUUUUCUUUUCAGCCAAG
rnacentral:lncRNA from 1 species